rnacentral:rRNA from 1 species
UACAGAGGGGGCAAGCGUUAUUCGGAAUUAUUGGGCGUAAAGGGCGCGUAGGCGGCAUGGCAAGUGGAUGGUGAAAUCCCUCGGCUUAACCGAGGAACUGCCGUCCAAACUGCUUCGCUUGAGACCGGGAGAGGUGAGUGGAAUUCCCAGUGUAGCGGUGAAAUGCGUAGAUAUUGGGAGGAACACCAGUGGCGAAGGCGGCUCACUGGACCGGUACUGACGCUGACUGCGCGAAAGCGUGGGGAGCAAACGGGG